CUUUUUUCAUGUUAAGACUAUAUUGACAAAGCAGCCAGAAUGUUUUUUAGGUAAAAGGUGCAGACCAAAAUAAAGCUAAAAUCAGUAAAUCCAUGUGUUCAAUUUGUCCUUCUGCCCUUAAGUGGUAAAAAGGUGAAGGUAAUCUAACUGACGCGGGCAACGUGUUGCACAUAUUUGUGCAGCCAAGCCGCUCUGCUGCGGAGCUUCAGGCAUGAAACACUUUUCUUCACACUUCUUUGGUCUUCUUAUGUGCGUUGUCUUAUUUCUCAUCUCAAGACCAUAACAAUAUCCCAAUAGCUUAACAACUAGCAGUGAUUCUUAUUAGCAGAAUUUAGCUGGCAAUCGUGUCAGAGGCCUCAGCUCCGCCAGAUUCACGCAUAAAAUGCCGGCGGGUCACUGAACGGCAGAGCAGAGAGGUCGUGGUUGUGAGAAUGAAAGUGGAGAAUGAUAACUCAGAGAUUAGUCUACUUAGGUGCAACAAAACCGUCAAUUACAAUGCUUUAUCAAUACCUAAUCAACAUGCAAAAAUAUUUAAAUAACGAACUGAAAAGUAAUUUGUCAGUCUGCUCUCUCCGCAGUUGCUCAUCCGCUCCUGCUGUGUUUAUCAAGCAAGCGUGCUAGUUUGGCUAAUAGCAAAUUGUUAAAAUAAAAGAAGGUGUCUGUAUGUAGUUUAAGGCUUUCAUAGAAAAAUAACACAAUUACCAUAAUGUCUAUUCUUAACCACUUUUUCUGGACUUUUCUGAAAAUUUUAGUGGGGCAAAGAAAGAUGUGAAGAAGAAUUCAUAGAGAUUUAGGAAAGGAAACCGCAGUGUUGUGACAAUCAGACUCCACUAAACAAAAAUGAAGAAUUUGAAUAUCUCUUAUCAUGGCGGCCACUUAAGAUGCCACCGGGUUGGGAAUCUUUCCCAUCUUUCCAAGGAAAAAACAAAAGUGCUUCCCGACGCCAGCUUAAAUAAAUAACUCAAAGAUGGAUUUAAGGUAAUUAAGCUUCUUAAAAUAAAAUAAAAGUGAAGUUAAACUGAUAUUAAGCAUUGCCUAUAUCUAGGUACCAUAUUUCACACAGCAAAAACGCUUUCCUGCGCAGGAUUUUAUUAUCUGCAGGUGAUGUUCACCAUACGAUUGCUGCUCUGUCAACAGUGAGGCAGUGUGUGCUUUUCAAAGAAUAUUUGAGGAAAUAGAGAGAAACUCAAUGAAACAUCUGCCUUGAUGCCAGGUCCAUCACUUCAACCAUUGUACAGGCUGAUAUGUUCGGGCAGCAGUCAUUCUCAUCUAUGGAUUAUACUAAGAAGCAAACAGAGAGCUCCUUUUUAUGUGGGGCAGUGAGGACAGCAGGAGCAAAUUAAUACACCAUUGUAAACUCAACAAUCAAGCUUUAAACAAUUUUACCAAACAAAUCUUCUGGUCAUGGUAAAAGUACUGCAAAUAAUGGCACAUUCAGUCAUCGGAAUACAUAUUACAGAUACGAUCCUGGCUGUAGUUGAUUGUCUAGUAACUACACAGUUUCAUCAAUUCCAAAUUGAUGAUGAAUUUUUAUUCUUACCCUUCUUUCCCCCCCAAGAAUCCAUUUCAGAUGAGAUGAAAAAGUAAUAUUGCAGCAAUAAAGCUUGAUUUACAUCCCCUUCCCUGUUCUCCCUCUUCCUUUUUUAUUUGAUCAUUUAGCCAGGAUCAUAUAACUGUAUAUCAGACACAAAUGAAAUCAGGCCCUAUCCACAUUAAGGCCAUGUCUUUCUGCAGCUAACAUCCCCUCCAACCCAACCACCCAGCUCCAAGCAAGCCAAGGGCAGAGUCCCAUUCAUUUUCAGGCCCAUUUCCUCCUAUGAUUAGGCGAUCAAUCAAUCCCAGCAUUCAAUCUCAUCAGGCAGACGGGAUUAUCUGCCCAUCUUCCCCUCUGCCUCUUUCAACUCACUCCCUCCCGCACACACGGCAGCACAUUAACAUCAGAUCAAGUAUCACCCGACACAAGCAGUCUACCACAUCAUCUGACCACAAACAGACAGCUUCUCAUCUCAGCCAUCUCUCACUCAACCAUUCCAUCUCCUCCAAGUGGCAGAGCUCUCUCUCUCUCCGUCUGGCAGUCAACACUUCAUAAGGUUGUGUGUAACCUGGCGCUGAUGCGCACUUCUUACCUGUUUGUUUACUAUUCUUUAUAAACAAUACAAGUUAUGUUGUUGUAUAUCUAUACAAUGCUUGUUUAAUAGUUUGAAAAGUCAGAUUGCACUUUUCCUUUGGCUUUGUUUAGCCAGACCUGCCUUCAGUGCAUAUUAGUUGUGAACAAUUGUUGGGCAAUAAAAAUGGUCCAAAGCUCAUAUCUUUAACCGUUAGAGUGGCACAUUUGCUCUGUCACAAACACAAGAGACGUUUUAACAAAAAGUGUCAUGAUGAGUCCACGAGUGCCGUUUCUACCUCUUGAAGGCUGCUGUUUGCGGGCAUUGUGGGCCAUCUUUAAGGCACUACGCUGCUGCAAACAUUUACUCUCUGCAGCCUGCGGAGGCUUUCACUCAGCCUCUACGGCCAGAGACCCGCAUCUGUUACGCUCCAAAAUGAUCAAAGGGAACGAGGCUCUGAUGACAGGACCCGGUAAAUUCUCCCCAGAUAAUUCUGUUCUUGGAGAUGGCCGCCAUGGUGCUGCAACAUAAGGCUUACAUACAUACACACACUUUUGAGGACUCUGAUAUGUUUCUCCGGUAUUAAUGCUUGCAUUUUUAUUUGUUAUUGAAUAAGAAGCAAUUUCCAAUAGGCUUGCUGUGAUUCAUGUAACGGUUAGCCUCACGUACAGCUGGAAGCGGCAGUCAUUCAGACGCACUUCCUGUAGGAGUGUUUUGGUGGUGCUUCUCUUUGGUGGUCAGGGAGACUGUUGCAUUUGUGUGGAUGUAGUGUAGUUUCAGGAUAUUCUUGCCAGUGAUCACGGUAAAAGUGAGUUACAGUAGUCUAGUCUUUUAGAGAUAAAGGCUUGGACAAGCUUCUCUUCAUCUGACAGGUUAAAGUGGGGGAGAGUUUAGAGAUGUUUUCGACAUGAAAGAAAGAGGUUUUGCACAAGUAUUUGAUAUGGUCAUCAAAGGUCAGGUGAGGGUCAAACUUAACUUCCAGAUUGGCAACUGUGGAGGAGAGGGGUAUGACCUGACUGUCAAAGGUUAUGGAGGAAGCCGUUUCCGUGCUGUGAGCUGAACGAAAUUCCUGACUGAAACUUUUCAAACAAGUUGUUCACAACACCAAAUCCUAAAGCUUGAGGUCAUAAUGAGCACAACACCAAAUUCUAAAGCCACCAAUAUCAUUACCAGACUGAAAUAGACUUUAAAUCUGCUCCUUCUUUUGUUAUUCUCUCAUGGAGAUAAUUAUUAUAAAAUACCAUAUUGUGAGAACGUUGAAGAGAAAGAAUUGAAUUAGUAAUACAUUUAGAGUCACUAAGAGCACCCACAGGAAAAUUAAAUUACUUUUUAUGGCAUCACUAAUAUUUCAUAUUUCUAGUUUCUUUCUUUCAGAUAAGCACUUGGUAAAAGGGGCAUUUUCCUUUGCAUCUAAAAUAUUUAAUAAUUUGUCCUUAAUGGCAAAAAGCUUUUUGCUGUCGAAAUGAUAAUUCUUGAAACAACACUGAUGAAACUGUCAUGCUUUCAAGCGCACUGCCUUUUAGUGACCAUGUGCCAGGUUAAUAAAAGUUUCACAUCCGAUCGGCAGCAUUUCCUUCCCUGCUCGUAUCCCAUGAAGAGAGGUAGAAAUACCCCGUAGGCAAAAUGAAACAGCUACAGUCACACUAGCAAAACAACAACUCUGUGACUAAAGCUAUGUCACACGAACUUUAAACAGCACAGCGCAGCCUUGCAAACACAUCAAAAAGUUUGCAUAUCUUCCGUUACUACCUCCAGCUUACUUACACAGCACCACAUUAUUUCUGACCUUAUUGCAAACUUAACAAAUCAUUAGCCACGUCAGGUAAGGAAUAAGACUAGAAAAUAUAUUCUUACAAAAUCUACACUGUAUAAGAUACAUAUCAUAUCUUGAAUUACUACAAAUAGAAUGCAGAGCGAUUUUAUUUGCUCACUAAAACAAAAUAAUGUUGCAAAACUUCCCUUUUUAUCUAUUUGGAGUAUAUUAUAAGUACAUUUUCUUAAAUCUGCAAAUGAUGUGUUCUUAAAACAAAUAUUACCAUUUACAUAUCUUGCAUAUUAACAAUUUUGCUCCUAGCAGUUUUAACAAAAUAUUUUCCCAUUAGGCCAUUACGGUUUCACACAUUAACCACAAAGAAUCAGCAUUACAUCCCUGCAUGUGAAAAUGUCUGUGUUUAUGAACUAAAUUUGAUCCAAUAUAAUCUUUUUUUCUUCAUGGUGAACAAUGAGGUCACUUGUAAAAGGUCAAUGUUGUGUAUCAUCGAUGUGAUUGUUGCGUACCUAUCAACAUGCUAAAGUCAUUCUUGGCAGAACAUCUGGAACUCACAUCCCAAACAUCCAACCGUCAAGACAAAAACUAAUAAUAUACCAGAAGCAAACUGAGAAAACACCCAUGAAUGAAUUAUAAUUAAGAAACUUCUAUCCUAUUGAAAUGUCAACUCUCUGUGGGACUCUUCACUGUCCAAGCUGAAUCCGAAGCAAUAAAUGGCUUUAAUAACGGAACAGAAUCCUGUGCCUUUGUUCUGCACUAGGACCAACCAAGAGGUGCUCACUCCAAGGUGCAAGUCCUAGCAUGUACAUUUUACCUGCAAGAUUGCAGAUUCUCACAGUUUAUGUUAAAAUACCAUAAACAAGCCACACAACCCUACAAACUAUAUUUAGGAAUAUUUACUAUACUUAACGAUUAUGGGCAUUUCUGACUGUG
ensembl:lncRNA